AGUUCCCUACGGGGGGCAGCAGUGGGGGAUAUUGCACAAUGGGGGGAACCCUGAUGCAGCGACGCCGCGUGGGUGAAGGAGCGUUUCGGCGCGUAAAGCCCUAUCGGCAGGGAAGAAGGAGGACGGUACCUGACUAAGAAGCCCCGGCUAACUACGUGCCAGCAGCCGCGGUAAUACGUAGGGGGCAGGCGUUAUCCGGAUUUACUGGGUGUAAAGGGAGCGUAGACGGCAAUACAAGUCGGAAGUGAAAUACUUGGGCUCAAACUGGGAACUGCUUUGGAAACUGUAUGGCUGGAGU
rnacentral:rRNA from 1 species